rnacentral:tRNA from 1 species
GCCGCAAUAGCUCAUCCGGUAGAGCACCGCUUUCGUAAAGCGGGGGUAGGGGGUGCGAGUCCCUCUUGCGGCACCA